UACGUAGGGUGCGAGCGUUAAUCGGAAUUACUGGGCGUAAAGCGUGCGCAGGCGGUGAUGUAAGACAGAUGUGAAAUCCCCGGGCUCAACCUGGGAACUGCAUUUGUGACUGCAUCGCUGGAGUGCGGCAGGGGGGGAUGGAAUUCCGCGUGUAGCAGUGAAAUGCGUAGAUAUGCGGAGGAACACCGAUGGCGAAGGCAAUCCCCUGGGCCUGCACUGACGCUCAUGCACGAAAGCGUGGGGAGCAAACAGG
rnacentral:rRNA from 1 species